UACGUAGGGGGCGAGCGUUGUCCGGAAUCAUUGGGCGUAAAGGGCGUGUAGGCGGGACGGUAAGUCGGGCGUGAAAUCCCUAGGCUCAACCUAGGAACUGCACUCGAAACUACCAUUCUUGAGUGUCGGAGAGGAAAGCGGAAUUCCUGGUGUAGAGGUGAAAUUCGUAGAUAUCAGGAGGAACACCAGUGGCGAAGGCGGCUUUCUGGACGAUAACUGACGCUGAGACGCGAAAGCGUGGGGAGCAAACAGG
rnacentral:rRNA from 1 species